CCUACGGGGGGCAGCAGUGAGGAAUAUUGGUCAAUGGGCUUACGCCUGAACCAGCCAAGUCGCGUGAGGGAAGACUGCCCUAUGGGUUGUAAACCUCUUUUGUCAGGGAGCAACGCCGGCUACGUGUAGCCGGACUGAGAGUACCUGAAGUAAAAGCAUCGGCUAACUCCGUGCCAGCAGCCGCGGUAAUACGGAGGAUGCGAGCUUUAUCCGGAUUUAUUGGGUUAAAAGGGUGCGUAGGCGGAAUGCAAAGUCAGCGGGAAAAUCGCGGGGCGCAACCACGCUCCGCCGUUGAAACUGGCGUUCUUGAGUGGGCGAGAAGUAUGCGGAAUGCGUGGUGUAGCGGUGAAAUGCAUAGAUAUCACGAAGAACUCCGAUUGCGAAGGCAGCAUACCGGCGCCCAACUGACGCUGAAGCACGAAAGCGUGGGUAUCGAACAGGAUUAGAUACCCCGGUAGUC
rnacentral:rRNA from 1 species